rnacentral:lncRNA from 1 species
AUUCCUCUGUUUCCUUGCUUUACCUUGUUAGGUUUUUGUUUCUGUUCAUAUACAAUAUGAAUAUUUUUCUCUCAUAUACUCCUUCUGCUAGAAACUUGCUGAUUUUAGGGGUGCUGCUACUACUGCAAAGAUCGUUUCAGAAAAAAAAACAAGUAGUGGUUGAUCGACACUUUGGGAUGAGCGUGCAUGUGUGGUACGUCUACUCGAGCGACCUACACUUCCUUCACAGAUUUGUUCAUGCCUUUCUUUUGGUUAUUUUCUAACUAACAUGAGACUUUUAUAUAUGUAUGUAGUACUAUAACAAAUACAGUUUUUUUGCUUCUACGUACUAUAUCCUACUAGCAUAUAUAUAUGGACUACUCACAUAUGAAAUGUUUGCAAAAAAAAACAAGCAAAGAAAAUGCAAUUUAUGAUAUUGUAUUAUUAUAAUUGAGACUUGUUUAACUUUUGUAGGAAGGAAAGAAAAGGACAACGCUCAAACAAAAGGACAACACUCACAAGGAACCAUGAAGCCAGCGAUCGUGUCAUCUGGAUAUUUAGCCUUCAUUUUGUACAACUAAUGUCUCAUACUAGCAUCUUUUAGCUGUCCUUUUUGUGAACGUGAUGUAUGGUGUCCUGGUGGUUAUGCUUGGAACAGACUAAAGCCUGUGUAUGUGACAAUUA